CACAGAGUUAGCCGAGGCUUAUUCUGGGGUACCGUCGAUGUCUUCCCCCCAAAAAGCAGUUUACAACCCGAAAGCCGUCAUCCUGCACGCGGCGUUGCUCCAUCAGGCUUGCGCCCAUUGUGGAAAAUUCCUUGCUGCUGCCUCCCGUAGGAGUCUGGGCCGUAUCUCAGUCCCAGUCUGGCUGGUUGUCCUCACAGACCAGCUACCCGUCAAAGGCUUGGUGGGCCGUUACCCCGCCAACAACCGUGAUGGGCCGCAAGCCCCUCUCCCAGCGCAUUGCUGCUUUCCUCGCCCGAAAGGGCGAGCGUAUGCGGGAUUAGCAGUCCUUUCGGGCUGUUAUCCCCCACUGGGAGGCAGGUACCCACGUCUUACUCAGCCGUGCGCCACUCACGGUGCAAGCACCGUGCGUGCGACUUGCAUGCAUUAGGCACGCCGCCAGCGUUCGUCCUGAGCCAGGAUCAAACUCU
rnacentral:rRNA from 1 species